ensembl:lncRNA
GUACUCCUUUCCCAAUUUGGAACCAGUUUGUUGUUCCAUGUCCAGGUCUAACUGUUGCUUCCUGACCUGCAUACAAAUUUCUCAAGAGGCAGAUCAAGUGGUCUGGUAUUCCCAUCUCUUUCAGAAUUUUCCACAGAUUAUUGUGAUCCACACAGUCAAAGGCUUUGGCAUAGUCAAUAAAGCAGAAAUAGAUGUUUUUCUGGAACUCUCUUGCUUCUUCCAUGACCCAGUGGAUGUUGGCAAUUUGAUCUCUGGUUCCUGUGCCUUUUCUAAAACCAGCUUGAACAUCAGGAAGUUCACGGUUCACGUAUUGCUGAAGCCUGGCUUGGAGAAUUUUGAGCAUUACUUUGCUAGCGUGUGAGAUGAGUGCAAUUGUGCGGUAGUUUGCACAUUCUUUGGCAUUGCCUUUCUUUGGGAUUGGAAUGAAAACUGACCUUUUCCAGUCCUAUGGCCACUGCUGAGUUUUCCAAAUUUGCUGUCAUAUUGAGAUCAGCACUUUCACAGCAUCAUCUUUCAGGAUUUGAAAUAGCUCAACUGGAAUUCCAGUUAUAAUUUUCCUUUAUAGUACUAUUUAAUCAUGAUACAUAAAUGGUCUGCUUAUGGUCUGUCUGCAUACUAGAUGGUAAAUUAGGCUAGGUCUCAUAACUUCACUAAGGUAUACUCAGGAAGCAGUAAAAUGCAUGGCUCUUAAUAAGUAAGGCUCAGUAAUAUGUGAUCAUAACCCUAGUUUUGAUAUGUAUUAGUCUUUCAGAGUGUGGUAGUAUGGAGCCAGCCAGCAGAGGAAGAAUGAGUUGAGUGUAUUACAGUAAAUCUUGAAUCAGCAAUGAUUCAGCUCUUAAUAGAACAGAAAGAUGCAGGGAAAAUACGGUGCAUUUGAUAGUCCUCCAGAACAUUGUUGGGAGAAUGAAAAUCCAGGGCAGAUUAGAGAAGAAGAGAGGCCUGGUGACAACUGCAGGGAGUGCCCUCUGAUGACUGUCAGUAAAUAAUCCAAGAGCACCCACGGCAGCAAAGCUGGAGAAGGGACCAGACUCUGA